UACGUAGGGUGCGAGCGUUGUCCGGAAUUAUUGGGCGUAAAGGGCUCGUAGGCGGUUUGUCGCGUCGGGAGUGAAAACACUGGGCUUAACUCAGUGCUUGCUUUCGAUACGGGCAGACUAGAGGUAUGCAGGGGAGAACGGAAUUCCUGGUGUAGCGGUGAAAUGCGCAGAUAUCAGGAAGAACACCCGUGGCGAAGGCGGCUCUCUGGGACGGUACUGACGCUGAGACGCGAAAGCGUGGGGAGCGAACAGG
rnacentral:rRNA from 1 species